rnacentral:misc_RNA from 1 species
UUUCCGUAGGUGAACCUGCGGAAGGAUCAUUACUGAGUGAGGACCCUCUGGAUCCAACCUCCCACCCGUGUUUAUUGUACCUUGUUGCUUCGGAGAGCCCGCCUCACGGCCGCCGGGGGGCAUCUGCCCCCGGGCCCGCGCUCGACGAAGACACCCUUGUACUCUGUCUGAAGUUUGCAGUCUGAGCGAAAACUAAAUAAGUUAAAACUUUCAACAACGGAUCUCUUGGUUCCG